UAAUACGAGGGGAGCAAGCGUUGUUCGGAAUCAUUGGGCGUAAAGGGCGCGUAGGCGGCCUGCACAAGUCCAGGGUGAAAGCCCUCGGCUCAACCGAGGAAGGGCCUUGGAAACUGUGCGGCUUGAGUAUUGGAGAGGAAGGCGGAAUUCCCAGUGUAGCGGUGAAAUGCGUAGAUAUUGGGAGGAACACCUGUGGCGAAGGCGGCUUUCUGGACAAUCACUGACGCUGAGGCGCGAAAGCUAGGGGAGCAAACGGGAUUAGAUACCCCGGUAGUCCUAGCUGUAAACGAUGGAUACUUGGUGUGGGAGGUAUUGAGUCCUUCCGUGCCGACGAUAACUCAGUAAGUAUCCCGCCUGGGGAGUACGGUCGCAAGACUG
rnacentral:rRNA from 1 species